UACGUAGGCAGCAAGCGUUGUUCGGAGUUACUGGGCGUAAAGGGUGCGUAGGCGGCCGUGUAAGUGUAGUGUGAAAUCUCCCGGCUUAACUGGGAGGGUGCGCUACAGACUGCAUGGCUAGAGUGUGGGAGAGGAAAGUGGAAUUCCUGGUGUAGCGGUGAAAUGCGUAGAUAUCAGGAGGAACACCGGUGGUGUAAACGGCUUUCUGGACCAUAACUGACGCUGAUGCACGAAAGCGUGGGUAGCAAACAGG
rnacentral:rRNA from 1 species